rnacentral:rRNA from 1 species
UACGGAGGGUGCAAGCGUUAUCCGGAAUCAUUGGGUUUAAAGGGUCCGCAGGCGGACUUAUAAGUCAGUGGUGAAAGCCCGUCGCUCAACGACGGAACUGCCAUUGAUACUGUAAGUCUUGAAUUCGAUCGAAGUGGGCGGAAUAUGACAUGUAGCGGUGAAAUGCUUAGAUAUGUCAUAGAACACCGAUAGCGAAGGCAGCUCACUAGGUCUGGAUUGACGCUCAGGGACGAAAGCGUGGGGAGCAAACAGG